AUUGAACGCUGGCGGCAUGCCUUACACAUGCAAGUCGAACGGUAACAGGUUAAGCUGACGCGUGGCGAACGGGUGAGUAAUACAUCGGAACGUGCCCAGUAGUGGGGGAUAGCCCGGCGAAAGCCGGAUUAAUACCGCAUACGGCCUAAGGGUGAAAGGGGGGGAUCGCAAGACCUCUCGCUAUUGGAGCGGCCGAUGUCAGAUUAGCUAGUUGGUGGGGUAAAAGCUCACCAAGGCGACGAUCUGUAGCUGGUCUGAGAGGACGACCAGCCACACUGGGACUGAGACACGGCCCAGACUCCUACGGGAGGCAGCAGUGGGGAAUUUUGGACAAUGGGCGCAAGCCUGAUCCAGCCAUGCCGCGUGCGGGAAGAAGGCCUUCGGGUUGUAAACCGCUUUUGUCAGGGAAGAAAUCCUUUGGGUUAAUACCUCGGGGGGAUGACGGUACCUGAAGAAUAAGCACCGGCUAACUACGUG
rnacentral:rRNA from 1 species